rnacentral:siRNA from 1 species
CAACGAGAACAGAAAUCUCGUG